rnacentral:misc_RNA from 1 species
AAGUCGUAACAAGGUCUCCGUUGGUGAACCAGCGGAGGGAUCAUUACUGAGUUUUCGAACUCCAAACCCUGUGAACUUUACGUGUUACUGCUUCGGCAGGGGACCUCAGGGCGGGGUCUUUAGCUCCUUCGGGGGCGCCUGUCAGCGGCAGACAACUAUAAAUUCUUCUUUAGUAGGCUUCUGAGUGCUUCCUAAAAUAAGUUAAAACUUUCAACAACGGAUCUCUUGGUUCUG